rnacentral:SRP_RNA from 2 species
GCCAGGCAUGGUGGCGGGUGCCUGUAAUCCCAGCUACAUGGGAGGCUGAGGCAGGAGAAUCACUUGAACCUGGGAGGCGGAGGCUGCAGUGAGCCAAGAUUGUGCCACUGCACUCCAGCCUGGGUGACAGGGUGAGACUCUGUCUCAA